GGUCCGGCGGCGGCGGCGGCGGCAGCGGCAGCGGCGGCGGCGGCCGCGGCGUCUUCAGAGGCGCCCAGUGCAGGAUGGUGCUGGAGGCGGCGGCGGCGGCCGUGGUGGCGGCGGCGUCGUUGGCGGCAGCGGGAGGGGGUGCUGUGGCGGCAUCGGCGGCGGCGCCCGCGGGUGGUGUAAAAUGGCGGAUUUCGAGGAGUUGAGGAAUAUGGUUUCUAGCUUUAGGGUUUCUGAACUACAAGUGUUACUAGGCUUUGCUGGACGGAAUAAAAGUGGACGCAAGCAUGACCUCCUGAUGAGGGCGUUGCAUUUACUGAAGAGCGGCUGCAGCCCUGCGGUUCAGAUUAAGAUCCGAGAAUUGUACAGACGCCGAUACCCACGGACUCUGGAAGGACUUUCUGAUUUGUCCACAAUCAAAUCUUCGGUUUUCAAUUUGGAUGGUAGCUCAUCACCUGUAGAACCUGACUUGGCCGUGGCCGGAAUCCACGCGCUGCCUUCCUCGUCAGUUGCACCGCGCUCACCGGCCUCUCCUGUUGGUUCUGUGCUGCUUCAGGAUACUAAGCCCGCGUUUGAGAUGCAGCAGCCGUCUCCCCCAGUUCCUCCUGUCCAUCCCGACGUGCAGCUAAAGAACUUGCCCUUUUAUGAUGUCCUUGAUGUUCUCAUCAAGCCCACGAGUUUAGUUCAAAGCAGUAUUCAACGAUUUCAAGAGAAGUUUUUUAUUUUUGCUCUGACACCUCAGCAAGUUAGAGAGAUAUGCAUAUCCAGGGAUUUUUUGCCAGGUGGUAGGAGAGAUUAUACAGUCCAGGUUCAGCUGAGACUUUGCCUGGCAGAGACAAGUUGCCCUCAAGAAGACAACUAUCCCAAUAGUCUAUGUAUAAAAGUAAAUGGGAAGCUGUUUCCUUUGCCUGGCUAUGCACCACCACCUAAAAAUGGGAUUGAACAGAAGCGCCCUGGACGCCCUUUGAAUAUUACAUCUUUAGUUAGGUUAUCUUCAGCUGUGCCAAACCAGAUUUCCAUUUCUUGGGCAUCAGAAAUUGGAAAGAAUUACUCCAUGUCUGUAUAUCUUGUACGACAGCUCACAUCAGCCAUGUUAUUACAGAGAUUAAAAAUGAAAGGUAUUAGAAACCCUGAUCAUUCCAGAGCACUAAUUAAAGAAAAACUUACUGCAGAUCCUGAUAGUGAAAUUGCUACAACUAGCCUUCGGGUAUCCUUGAUGUGCCCUUUAGGGAAAAUGAGGUUGACAAUCCCAUGCCGUGCAGUGACUUGUACACAUCUACAGUGUUUUGAUGCUGCCCUUUAUCUGCAAAUGAAUGAGAAGAAGCCCACCUGGAUCUGCCCUGUGUGUGACAAAAAAGCAGCCUAUGAAAGUCUAAUUUUAGAUGGGCUUUUUAUGGAAAUUCUCAAUGACUGUUCUGAUGUGGAUGAGAUCAAAUUCCAAGAGGAUGGCACUUGGUGUCCAAUGAGACCGAAGAAAGAAGCUAUGAAAUUGUCCAGCCAGCCGUGUACGAAAAUAGAAAGUUCAAGUGUCCUCAGUAAGCCUUGUUCAGUGACUGUAGCCAAUGAGACAAGCAAGAAGAAAGUGGAUGUUAUUGACCUAACAAUAGAAAGCUCUUCUGAUGAAGAGGAAGACCCUCCUGCCAAAAGGAAAUGCAUCUUUAUGUCAGAAACACAAAGCAGCCCAACCAAAGGGGUUCUCAUGUAUCAGCCAUCUUCUGUAAGGGUGCCCAGUGUGACUUCGGUUGAUCCUGCUGCUAUUCCGCCUUCAUUAACAGACUACUCAGUACCAUUCCACCACACGCCAAUAUCAAGCAUGUCAUCAGAUUUGCCAGGUUUGGAUUUUCUUUCCCUUAUUCCAGUUGAUCCCCAGCAGUACUGUCCUCCUAUGUUUUUGGAUAGUCUCACCUCACCCCUAACAGCAAGCAGUACGUCUGUCACCACCACCAGCCCCCAUGAAAGCAGUACUCACGUUAGUUCAUCCAGCAGCAGGAGUGAGACAGGGGUCAUAACCAGCAGUGGAAGUAACAUUCCUGACAUCAUCUCAUUGGACUAAAGGAAAACUCACUCGAUUCUAGGAAUCAUUCAUCAAAACUGUUCUUUCUUGGAUCUCUGGUCCGUGGAAGCUAUUUUUUUGGUAACAAUUACUUUGAUAUUUAUUGAAACGUCAGAUGGAUUCUUUUGCUUUCUGAGAGAUGAACACAGAUGACUGCAGCAAGAACCAAAUGACAUGCAAGGAUUUUUCUUACUCAUGCUGUACUCUGAGCAUCAGAUACAUUUGGCCAUAACUGUAUCUUCUCCAGAGACGGAUUUCAAUUUCAUAUGUUACUGGAUGGAUUCUACACACAUCGGUUAAAUUUUUUUUUGUUGUAAUAAACAGCAAUAAAAUUAUGUAAAUAUUCAAGUAAACUUUUUUCUAACUAAAAAAGAUGUAAUCAAUGAUUCUAAAAUGACAGCAACUUUUGUUUAACCUGAUGUGAAGGAAAAAUACAUGGAAGGAAGUCAUGUUUGCUGAAUGAGUCCUUUCCACAGAGAUUUGUUCUGUUUCAUCGAAUAAUGAAGUCUUGCUAAGUGGCCAGAGCUUGGCUCCACUUUUCUUCUGCAGUUCCUCUUUUCUUCCUGAUUCCAUCAAAGAAAAAUGGCCUUUGUGUUACUUAUUUUUCCCUGGUUGUCAUUUACACUUUGAUGUUGUUUGCUAGCAGUUGCAAAGGGAAGUUCUGGGAUUUGGCUGCUCUUUAUCAGUGAUGGUGCUGAAGAACACUAUGCAGAUCCUGCCCUGAUGUGUGUUAUUUUUGGUAAUUGUACAUUCUCAUUCUAGAGAUUUCUACAAAAUUGGGCUUGCCUUCUCGAAAAAGAAAUUCUGUGCAGCCAUUGAAUGUUGAAUGAAAUGUUUUUGGAGUAACCUGUGGCUAGAAUGUUCGUUAGAAUUUUGUUUACCCUGACCCAGCAACAUUGAGAGCUUUUUGAGGCAGUAUAGAAGAACAGAUUUGGGGGAAGUGGGAUUAACAAAGUUUAAUCUCUUCCUAGGAACUUCUUUUACUCAUUUAUUUUAUAGAAUAAUAUACAGAUCUUUGUUGAAACUUUUCACAUUUUAGUAACACUAACAAAGCAGAUACGAUUUAGAACUCUGGUCACAUCUGUCACCAGUACAGUCUCAGUGAUGAUUUUCAAACUUAAUUAGAAGACACAAACAACAGCAAGGCAUGGGGACUGCAUCGGAUUUUCUGGUCCUUUUUUUUUUUUUUUUAAACAAGGAAAUCUUUCCUGAUACCAUGAAGGACACACAGAGUUAGAAGUGUGUGAAUUUAAGGUGAGGAAGGUUUGGGGAGGAUGGUGCUGCAGCCCACUUUGAAAACCACUCACUCAGAGUGUUCUUGAUUUUAAAUCCCUCAGGAGGCCGAGUUUUACCCUUAGAGAAACAUUUCUAUCCACAUUUUAUAUUACCCUUUGCUUCAUUUGGCCCCCUAAAUUUUUGAGUUCUCAAGGAAUUCAUACUUCUCUAAUGUUUAUCUUUCUCCCCCUAACUGUAUCUACUUUAAAAAUAAAAAUCCCUUUUUAAAAAUGACUAAUCUGAUUUCUCAGACUUAAGUGCCCAGAUGAAGAGUACCGAUUUCAGUUAGAACAGGGACACAUCAUAUUACUUCAGGGUUGAUGUAACUCCAGGAAGCUGACUUGUCACUGCUUGGGUGGUUUUUGUUUUUAAACACCUCAAGUUUUCAUGGCCGCUGUGCUCCUUUUGUACUGAUUUAAUUUUAUGUGAUUUUCUGCAUCAUCCCUCCUUUAUCUACAUCAUCCCUUUAUGUAUUAUUCCUUUUGGAGAGCUGCUUAAUGAAAAACGUGGCAACAAACCAGAAUCUUCUUACAGUGGUUGCACCAUUGUUGCCGGUUUUACCUUCUUAGGCACUAGAUUUCCAGUCCAUGUUACAGGCCUUUGGUCCACAUAGAGAAUUUCUUCCUCGUAAAAUUUUAUGUUGCUGCUCUAAAUACAGAUGCAAUCUCUGUUAACUCUGUAAUCAGAUAGAAAACGGAACUCCGAUUUGUGUGGUAUAAUUUGUUAAUAAAUAAAUGAUGUAUAUUUGUUACCAUUUUGUUACCCUUUAGAUUUUCAGACUCCCCCCUCCCCAACGUAAUCAACAAAGUUUUAUAAGGUUAAAUGAAAAUAUAUUCAUAGAAAUUAUUUACUUGGUUCUUGUAACCGAUACCUCUGUGCUUUUAUAGUUGUGCUUUGUUUCCUUUUUACUAUUUUAUGUGAACAGUUUUAGUGUUCAUUUUUGGUGCUUUAUACUGAAAUUACAUAAAAUUUUAAUUUAUACAGGCGACUAACAUUUUUAAAAAUACACUUUUAAGUUUGUAAUCUUAAAAUUGGGGCUUUUAUGUAUAUAUCUUUGAAGGUGAGUACUUUUCUUUAUGCUUUUGCCUUACAACAGCAUGAUCAUUAAGUCAUUAUCCUUUUUUUUUUUUUUUUUUUUAAGCAUGGUCACCAAAUACUUCUACCGAGACCCUGACUUUUUAAUAGUUUAUUUUGCUUGCCCAGAUUUCUGCUUAACCAAGUGUAAUGCAGUUUCAGAGGAGGUUGUCUUAGCUGUUACGUAGAUGUCAGCCAACUAGUGAUUAUGUGGAGUAUCUUGUUUAAGGAAAGGAACUGCAGACUGCAGCUACUAGUCUCCUCUUACAAACGCUGAGGUAACAGGUGGUUUUGAUCCUUAUUCACGUAGAAAUGUUAAGGCUUACCUUGAUUUGGUGACUCCCGAUGUUGUAAUUGGUGUUAAAUAUAGCUUCAGAGCUAAACUCUGCUUACAUUCACUAACUUUCUGACCCUUAGGUGAGCCACUUUAGGAUUCUUGUAAUUUCCAUUUCUGCCCAGUAGAAGGUAAAUGCCUUUACCAAAAGGUAAAAAUACUUGGCAUCUGUCAUAGGGUAAUUAAUUAUAAGGGUAAAUGCAAUAUUAGCGUUAAAUUUAGUUUAUGUGGCAUUUAUCUUACAAUGUGCCUCAGGAAAGCUGGGAUGAAAAUACUAUGAUUAGGGGAGGAUUGUAAGUAUAGUAAGUAAGUUGAGCCAUGACUCUUGACAUGAAACAAGUUUCCCUAGGGUAGAAUCUUAAAAGAGUUUGAAGAAAGAUUAAAAUGUUGGAUUUUAGGUGAAGUGGUAUUCAACAGAGACUAUUCAGGACUUGUUGACAUUAGACCUUUCAGGCGUUCUGCCUUCAGGCCAGUCCUGGACACUAGUCACUUAGUAACCAAGUCUGUUUUUCUUCCGCUAAUAUUCAUUAGUUACAUUUUAUCUUUUUAAGUAAAUUUGAUUUUUAUAAAAUAGCAUUAGUUUAAUUCUCAUAUACGCCUUUUAUUUCUCUUUAGCCCCCAAUUGGUACAAAAGCAGUUCACUAUGUACUCCCCCCCCCCUUUUUUUUAAGUAAACACUUGUUUUCCUAAUUUUUUUCAUUUUGAAAAAAUGCAGAGCUGUGCGUCAUUUAAACUUGGGUGUGAUGUGUUUUGUGGCCCCGGAUUCCACGUGCUCUGGGAGCUUAUUGUCAGGAAGAUCUGUGAUUGAUGAUUCAAUCUGAUUCACCCAUUUUUUCUGCUGCAGUUCUACAUGAAUAUGGUGAAACUUGUGGAAAACAAUUUAAGAAUUUCUCUUUUUUAAGAGCCUGAUGCUCCUGUCAAAUGAAUGACUUGGUUUGUAAGCCCCCCCUUUUUUUGUUAUUAGGAGCCACACUCCCAAUUCCUAGGAGAAACAAAUAAAGCUAUAUAAAAGUGCCCAUUCUUCUUUAAUGCUUGCCUGAUUCAAUAAUGUUUUUGUUUUUUCUAUUUAUGUCAGUAAUGCAUGCUCACUGUGGAAAAAUUAGACCAUACAGAAAAGUAUAAAAAAUAAGCACUUUGACAUUUUUGCAUAUUUCUUGCCAGUCUCUCUGCUACUCAUGAGUGUUUUUACAUAGUUUUAUUCAUUCUCAAUAUAAUUUGGGUCUUGGUUUUUUUCUCAGUCUACACGUCAUUAAAAACUCAACUUUUAUUAAUUGCAUGAUAUUCCAUUGUAUGGAUGUGCCAUGAUUCACAUAACCUUUCCCCAUUGGACAUUUUAGAUUGCAUCUCAUAAAGUUACAGUGAAUGUCUUUGUGUAUAAAUUAUUUCCUUAGGAUGAAUUACUAGAGAUGGAAUUUCUGGGUCAAGGAUACAAACAGUUUUGUAGUUCUUGAUUCAUUUUUCCACAUGAUUUUACUGAUUUAUACUCCAACCGUAUGAUAUGAGAAGAACUCUUUAACCAUAUUUUCCAAGAAUAUACACCAUUCAUCUCUGUGCUGGCAUCUGCACUAAGACCCUCUGCCUUUCUGACCCUGGUGAGCUGGGCUGAUUUGGAAGUAAUUGGCAAAGAUUUUCCCGGACUGUCUCAGUUUCAGCUUCAUCUAUUUGACAUGUUCCAGAUACACCUGCCUAAGGAUAUCCAAAUAAUUUUUCACAUAAUUUUACUUGCCCUGUGAAAUAGCCCAUUGUCAGACUAUGUUUUCUAUUUUUAGUUAGAAAAUCUUGACACUUUUUUUUUUUUUUAACCAUUUGUACCUAGGGCCAGCCCUUAGUAGCCAGCUUUCUUUUUUUCCUCUUUCUGUAGGCUCCAUUUUGGGCUUUCUCAGCUCCCCAAAGCCAGUAGGAUCUCCUGAGCCAAAGGCAGUCCAAGCCAAACUGGAAGCGUGAACACACCUGUCUCCGCAGAUGACCUUGCUUCCUAAUGCACGCAGAAGAUUCAGUUUGCCAGCGUGAUUUCUCUCCACCUGUGCCCAUCUUCAUUCUCCUUCAUUCCAGUCUCAGAGGAUGAGGUGGGCCUUCAGGCCAGUUCAGCCCCAUGGACUUCUGACUCUUGUUUCCUGUCAUCUUCAGGACCUUCAUCCCACUCCUCCUUUUCUGAAUGUCUUUCACUUCUCUGCUGCUGCUUUUGGCUUACAGAAGUCUCAGUCAUCAAAUACUAGGUCCUGUGUUACAUGCCAGGCAUUGUAUCAGGCACUCAGAACACAGGAUAGAUAAAUACCUAACCUUCACCAAAGUUGUGAUUCAGUAGAAUAAAGAUGAGUGAAAUAGGGAGAUUACAGUGCAGUGGUAAAAGGCAAAAUAGAGGGUGCUACGGUAGCACGUAGAUGAGGCAACUGGCUGAUCGUAUGGAAGUGUCCGAUGAGUAGGACCAUGGCAGUUGAUUAGUUGUCAAGAGAACCGAGAAUGUUCAGAAUAGCUGCAUGUUUGUGUAAGAAAUCAUGCCGGGCCUUAUAAAGCAGUGAGAAGGCACUGAGGAGUUCUCGUGAUCAUUAACAGUUGGGCAGCAUUGGUUGAGUUUGGUAUGAUUGUCUCCAUUUUACAAAUGUGGGAACAGAUCAUGAGAGGGUGAGUGACUUGUUUGUGGCCCUGCAGCUUGUGUGAGGCAGGUGAGGUGAGGCAGGCUUCAAAUCCAGCUUUUAACCACCUCAGUCUGUUCAUGAUCAUUCUAUCUAAAAAGUAGGUGUUAACUAUCCUUUAUCAUAUCACUGUUUAUAUUUCUAUAUGGCACUUGUCACAACCUGUGUUUAUAUGUUGGUUCACUGUGUAUUGUCUGUUUCCCUUACUAGAUUGUAAGCUCCGUGAGGGCAGGGAUGAUCUCAUGUCACAUGCAUCCCAGAGCCUAACAAGGUGUGUGGUGCAUAGUAGGUGCUCAAUAAAUAUUUAUAAAUGAAGAA